ACGGAAGGCACAGUGGGGAAUAUUGCACAAUGGGCGCAAGCCUGAUGCAGCAACGCCGCGUGAGGGACGACGGCCUUCGGGUUGUAAACCUCUUUUAGCAGGGAAGAAGCGAAAGUGACGGUACCUGCAGAAAAAGCACCGGCUAACUACGUGCCAGCAGCCGCGGUAAUACGUAGGGUGCAAGCGUUGUCCGGAAUUAUUGGGCGUAAAGAGCUCGUAGGCGGUUUGUCGCGUCUGCUGUGAAAACGCGAGGCUCAACCUCGCGCCUGCAGUGGGUACGGGCAAACUAGAGUGCGGUAGGGGAGAUUGGAAUUCCUGGUGUAGCGGUGGAAUGCGCAGAUAUCAGGAGGAACACCAAUGGCGAAGGCAGAUCUCUGGGCCGUAACUGACGCUGAGGAGCGAAAGCAUGGGGAGCGAACAGGAUUAGAUACCCUGGUAGUCCAUGCCGUAAACGUUGGGAACUAGAUGUAGGGACCAUUCCACGGUUUCUGUGUCGCAGCUAACGCAUUAAGUUCCCCGCCUGGGGAGUACGGUCGCAAGACUAAAACUCAAAGGAAUUGACGGGGGCCCGCACAAGCGGCGGAGCAUGCGGAUUAAUUCGAUGCAACGCGAAGAACCUUACCAAGGCUUGACAUAUAGAGGAAACGUGCAGAAAUGUACGCCCCGCAAGGUCUCUAUACAGGUGGUGCAUGGUUGUCGUCAGCUCGUGUCGUGAGAUGUGGGUUAA
rnacentral:rRNA from 1 species